UGUUCUUCUUUCUUUACUUCUCGUUGCUUGUGCCUAAUCCGGCCAUACUUCCCUCUCUCACCAAAACCAUAGAUACCUCUCUCUAAAGAAGAAAUCAAACACCUAACACUAAAGUUUUAGCUUCAAAGUUUGUGGUGCAUAGGUUCUUUUCUGGAAGCAGCGAGAGUAUUAGAGGUGGCAAGAGAUUCAUGGUUCUCAAUUGUUUAGAUUGUAUAAUUCUUUUGUUGUUUAGAAGAUAUAGAUUUUUGUUGUAUAGGAGGUAUCAAGAUGUACUUGAUUCUCAUGAACAAAGAUGCUAUUAAGUUUGUUUUGGACCCCAGUGUAUAUCUUUAGGGUUAGGUUUGUAAAAAAGAGUUUUUGCUAAAUGUUUAAUUAUGUAAUAUUUACUCGAAAAUCUUUAGUUUCAGCCAAGUGUUCAAACUUGCAAGUUUGAAUGUAAUGAAGAUUUAAGUUUUUA